GGGUUGUGAGGUUAAGCGACUAAGCGUACACGGUGGAUGCCCUGGCAGUCAGAGGCGAUGAAGGACGUGCUAAUCUGCGAUAAGCGUCGGUAAGGUGAUAUGAACCGUUAUAACCGGCGAUUUCCGAAUGGGGAAACCCAGUGUGUUUCGACACACUAUCAUUAACUGAAUCCAUAGGUUAAUGAGGCGAACCGGGGGAACUGAAACAUCUAAGUACCCCGAGGAAAAGAAAUCAACCGAGAUUCCCCCAGUAGCGGCGAGCGAACGGGGAGCAGCCCAGAGCCUGAAUCAGUGUGUGUGUUAGUGGAAGCGUCUGGAAAGGCGCGCGAUACAGGGUGACAGCCCCGUACACAAAAAUGCACAUACUGUGAGCUCGAUGAGUAGGGCGGGACACGUGGUAUCCUGUCUGAAUAUGGGGGGACCAUCCUCCAAGGCUAAAUACUCCUGACUGACCGAUAGUGAACCAGUACCGUGAGGGAAAGGCGAAAAGAACCCCGGCGAGGGGAGUGAAAAAGAACCUGAAACCGUGUACGUACAAGCAGUGGGAGCCUCUUAAUGGGGUGACUGCGUACCUUUUGUAUAAUGGGUCAGCGACUUAUAUUCUGUAGCAAGGUUAACCGAAUAGGGGAGCCGAAGGGAAACCGAGUCUUAACUGGGCGUUAAGUUGCAGGGUAUAGACCCGAAACCCGGUGAUCUAGCCAUGGGCAGGUUGAAGGUUGGGUAACACUAACUGGAGGACCGAACCGACUAAUGUUGAAAAAUUAGCGGAUGACUUGUGGCUGGGGGUGAAAGGCCAAUCAAACCGGGAGAUAGCUGGUUCUCCCCGAAAGCUAUUUAGGUAGCGCCUCGUGAAUUCAUCUCCGGGGGUAGAGCACUGUUUCGGCAAGGGGGUCAUCCCGACUUACCAACCCGAUGCAAACUGCGAAUACCGGAGAAUGUUAUCACGGGAGACACGGCGGGUGCUAACGUCCGUCGUGAAGAGGGAAACAACCCAGACCGCCAGCUAAGGUCCCAAAGUCAUGGUUAAGUGGGAAACGAUGUGGGAAGGCCCAGACAGCCAGGAUGUUGGCUUAGAAGCAGCCAUCAUUUAAAGAAAGCGUAAUAGCUCACUGGUCGAGUCGGCCUGCGCGGAAGAUGUAACGGGGCUAAACCAUGCACCGAAGCUGCGGCAGCGACACUGUGUUGUUGGGUAGGGGAGCGUUCUGUAAGCCUGUGAAGGUGUGCUGUGAGGCAUGCUGGAGGUAUCAGAAGUGCGAAUGCUGACAUAAGUAACGAUAAAGCGGGUGAAAAGCCCGCUCGCCGGAAGACCAAGGGUUCCUGUCCAACGUUAAUCGGGGCAGGGUGAGUCGACCCCUAAGGCGAGGCCGAAAGGCGUAGUCGAUGGGAAACAGGUUAAUAUUCCUGUACUUGUGUUACUGCGAAGGGGGGACGGAGAAGGCUAUGUUGGCCGGGCGACGGUUGUCCCGGUUUAAGCGUGUAGGCUGGUUUUCCAGGCAAAUCCGGAAAAUCAAGGCUGAGGCGUGAUGACGAGGCACUACGGUGCUGAAGCAACAAAUGCCCUGCUUCCAGGAAAAGCCUCUAAGCAUCAGGUAACAUUAAAUCGUACCCCAAACCGACACAGGUGGUCAGGUAGAGAAUACCAAGGCGCUUGAGAGAACUCGGGUGAAGGAACUAGGCAAAUGGUGCCGUAACUUCGGGAGAAGGCACGCUGAUAUGUAGGUGAAGUCCCUCGCGGAUGGAGCUGAAAUCAGUCGAAGAUACCAGCUGGCUGCAACUGUUUAUUAAAAACACAGCACUGUGCAAACACGAAAGUGGACGUAUACGGUGUGACGCCUGCCCGGUGCCGGAAGGUUAAUUGAUGGGGUUAGCGGUAACGCGAAGCUCUUGAUCGAAGCCCCGGUAAACGGCGGCCGUAACUAUAACGGUCCUAAGGUAGCGAAAUUCCUUGUCGGGUAAGUUCCGACCUGCACGAAUGGCGUAAUGAUGGCCAGGCUGUCUCCACCCGAGACUCAGUGAAAUUGAACUCGCUGUGAAGAUGCAGUGUACCCGCGGCAAGACGGAAAGACCCCGUGAACCUUUACUAUAGCUUGACACUGAACAUUGAGCCUUGAUGUGUAGGAUAGGUGGGAGGCUUUGAAGUGUGGACGCCAGUCUGCAUGGAGCCGGCCUUGAAAUACCACCCUUUAAUGUUUGAUGUUCUAACGUUGGCCCCUGAUCGGGGUUGCGGACAGUGUCUGGUGGGUAGUUUGACUGGGGCGGUCUCCUCCUAAGAGUAACGGAGGAGCACGAAGGUUGGCUAUCCUGGUCGGACAUCAGGAGGUUAGUGCAAUGGCAUAAGCCAGCUUGACUGCGAGCGUGACGGCGCGAGCAGGUGCGAAAGCAGGUCAUAGUGAUCCGGUGGUUCUGAAUGGAAGGGCCAUCGCUCAACGGAUAAAAGGUACUCCGGGGAUAACAGGCUGAUACCGCCCAAGAGUUCAUAUCGACGGCGGUGUUUGGCACCUCGAUGUCGGCUCAUCACAUCCUGGGGUGAAGUAGGUCCCAAGGGUAUGGCUGUUCGCCAUUUAAAGUGGUACGCGAGCUGGGUUUAGAACGUCGUGAGACAGUUCGGUCCCUAUCUGCCGUGGGCGCUGGAGAACUGAGGGGGCUGCUCCUAGUACGAGAGGACCGGAGUGGACGCAUCACUGGUGUUCGGGUUGUCAUGCCAAUGGCACUGCCCGGUAGCUAAAUGCGGAAGAGAUAAGUGCUGAAAGCAUCUAAGCACGAAACUUGCCCCGAGAUGAGUUCUCCCUGACUCCUUGAGAGUCCUGAAGGAACGUUGAAGACGACGACGUUGAUAGGCCGGGUGUGUAAGCGCAGCGAUGCGUUGAGCUAACCGGUACUAAUGAACCGUGAGGCUUAACCUUACAACGCCGAAG
rnacentral:rRNA from 1 species